GAACGGCGGAUUUAUUUCAUUUCGGGUCUCAUAAAUCUAUUAUUUGUUCCUUGCCAAGUCCGAAUUAAGUUACGUUACUGUAAGGAUGCAAGUUCUGCCAUUUUUUGUCGAACUUUCUGGAGGACUUCAUUUCCUCUGAAGCGAGGUGCACGCCACUAAAAGCGGGCAGUAUUUUAUGCCAGGAUCAUUUUGAAAAACAAACACCUGGUUGGGUUAUUUUGACCCAGCAAUUGGUUUAUUAAUUGCCGCACUUUCUGGAUUCUUCGCUUCUGACUGGAUCACGCUACUCGGACCAGGCGGUAUUUCAUGAGUUCAGUAGAAUCCACUGAAUUGACCCCAACAGAUCAUAUCACCAUGACAGUGGAACUUUUUUCAGCCUUUGCAGUUUGUCAGAUUUUGGAAAGCACCCCUGAGAGGAAAUCCGUAUUAAACCGUUAAAGUGCAAGCAAUUACCAACAAGCAGAGGAGGCUACUUGUGAGACUCCUUGCAUCCCAUCUGCUGGAAACCAAUGGUGAAACCUGAGCCAUCAUCAGACACUAAGAAGGCAUGUGACAAGGCAUUGGUGUAUGAAUUUCCUUGCCUGAAGGAUAUACAGCUGCUAAAGGGGAAACAGCACUGAAGAUGCCAACUCUGCUAGCUCCAUCCAUUUACAGGGGAGGAGGAGAAGUCUUCAGACCUACCACUGUGGAGGCCCAGAGGUCCUUUAUUGACAUGCAACCUGUGGGGACCAACAUGGUGGAAUAUCUGCAAAAUCAGAGAUGUUGCACGUUUUGUGACUUGGGGACGAGCCAAGAAGGACCUGCCAGACCUUUGCCAUUGUUGGAGGCAAUGCCUCUGAGACAAACUCUUUGGUGAAGGAUGUUGAUAAGUUUUUUUUUGUCUUUGAUGUUAACUACACAAAGCAAUAGGUGUGUUCGACUUCAUGCAGCGCUGCGCAGACCGAUCGGCAGGUGACUUGAAGCAGUGCAUUUUGGUUAGUACUUUUGUCCGACUUCAGCUGGCGCUGCAGGCACGUGACUGUGUCAUAUGGUUUUUAAGUACCGCGAGAGCGUUUCGAGAGUAGCCAGCUGGCUCAGCCGGUGCAGCUUCUCCAGAGCGGCUGCCCGGAGUUGUGAUGACGUAACAGCUUUACUUGAUUGGUCGCUUCAUUGAUGACAACUAUCACGUGCGUUUCAAGUUUAAUCCAACCUUUAGUUUCACUAAUAAACAUUAUAAAUUCAUGUUUUAAAACAGGAAAAAAACACUUUAAUAUCCUAAAAUAUGUUAUAUUGUGUCGUGUAAUAAAAUAAAAAUGAAAAUAACAAACUCUAUUGGUAUUUUAAUAAUAUAGGCUUGUUUCCCGUUAUUUUCGGGUAUACAGUUUAAGCAGCAAUUAAAAUAUUCGAUAUAAAAUGUUUCUGGUUGCAACUUUUUAUCAAAAGGUUUGUUUUUAUCAAAUUCAGCAUCUAAUUCACUUAAUUUGCGAUUAUAAACAAGGAAACACGGCGCACACGUCACUACGGCAAGCAGCAGGUGUCCGGCUUGACGGCUCCGUCUUCAGUUCCUCCCUCGACUGCAAGCGGCAAACCUCGCCGAUCGGUCUGCGCAGCGCCGGAUGAUCUCGAACACACCUAUUGUCUUCCCACCUGGGAGUUUCACCAGGAUGCCAUUUAUCAGAUUGAUGGACAUGAGUCCUCCUCUGUUAACAUUUUGAGGACAACAUUUAAUCACUAAUAAUUAACUAUUUCAGUGCUAUGUUUGAAAGAUUCGCCCACAAUGCAAUGCCAACAGGAGUUUACUUACAGGCUGUGAGGUCAAGUGGGAGGAAUUAUGAUAAUUUCGGUCUUGUCUACGUCACCUACAAUCUGUGUUUG